GCUUGCAUGGGAGGAAGCUCCAGGGUCCGGCCGGCUGACUAGAGCGCUGAGUCCAACUCACUCAGAAUUGCAGCUGUAGUGCAAGACAGUGGAGGCCACGUGGCGGACGGUGUCCGGGAGCAGCAGGUGUUCCAGGCUAAAAUCCAGCGUGUGAAAAUGAAGUCGCAGGCCACCAUGAUUUGCUGUUAUGUAUUUUUUCUAGCCACAGAAUGUUCCCACUAUAGACCCA
rnacentral:lncRNA from 1 species